GGGCCGUUAGCUCAGCUUGGUCAGAGCACCGGACUUUUAAUCCGGGUGUCUAGGGUUCGAAUCCCUAACGGCCCACCA
rnacentral:tRNA from 1 species